UAUUUACCUUACUUUAGAUAUGAACACUGUCAUUGGGAUUUACCUCAUACCUGUUACUACUGCUCUGAAGGCUGGUUUUUCCUGCCAUUUGAAGAUGGAAAUAAGCAAUCGCCUUUUUCCAGCCUUGUCUUUUCAUGCCUUGGGCUCUUCAGUGGUACACUGGAAUCUUGUUUAACUCUUUGGUGGACAUCAGUUUCAAUUUGAAAUGCCUUGAGAUCAGAAUUCCCACUAGCUGGCAAAUAACAGAUGCUCAAUAAAUAUUUAUUUGACAACAAUUAAGAAUCUAUCCUUAAAAUGAAAAUCACACAGCUAGAUACUUAGCAACAUUGAUAAUAUAUAUUAACAUUUUUCAAUAAGGGCUAGAUUUUAUAGUGAUCAAAUUAUCAUAUUUGUGGGGAAAAAAUGGAAUACUACUUGGCUUAAAAAUACCUGGGAAAGGCUGCACCAAUAAAAAUUCUGCUAAUAAAAUUUCAAAAAUAAAAGAUAUGUGGAGAAAAAUCACACCUUUCAUUAUAAUUAAAGUUACUGGUAUUAUAAAUACUGACCGACAGGAUACCUACAUGAAGUCUCACAGUCUAGUUUCUACUCUGCUUACUUGUAUUAGUCCAUUCUCGCACUGCUAUAAAGAACUACCUGCGACUGGGUAAUUGAUAAAGAUUGACUCACAGUGCCAUAGGCUUAACAAAAAGUAUAACUGGGAGGCCUCAGGAAAAUUACAAUCAUGAUGGAAGGUGAAGGGGAAGCAAGCUCAUCUUAC